UAAAUGCACUAUCGGAUAUGAC
rnacentral:miRNA from 1 species